AUGGCUCCUACCGAGGCUGAGGAUGAUGUAGAGGAGGGAGAAGAGAAGAAGAAGAGGGAAAGGAAGGCAGCCGGAGCUGCUUUCACGUGGAUUCAAAAUAACUUUGCGACGUGCCCUCCGGAUGCAACUGAUGAUGUGAUCCAGACACAUGCUCGUGUGUAUAUGUGGUACAUUGUGUCGAGGACUUUGUUUCCUGACUCCACUGGCAAGAACGCACCAUGGAUGUGGCUGAAGGCGUUGACCGUCUUCGAUAGCAAAUGGAGCUGGGGUUCAGCGACUCUUGCCUACUUGUACCGACAGGUAGUUGGUCUGUUUUGUGAUCAACUCAUUUAUUCAUUAGCAAUGCAAGCUUGCUGUCAAGUUAACAUUGUUUUUCUUUCAUAUGUAGCUGGAUGA
rnacentral:rRNA from 1 species